UUACGACCACAUCACGUUGAAACAUUGGUUCCAGUACGAUCACCGAAAUUAAGCAAUGUCGAACCUGGUCAGUACCUAAAUGGGUGACCGCUUAGGAAUAUCAGGUGUUAUA
rnacentral:rRNA from 1 species